rnacentral:rRNA from 1 species
CCUACGGGGGGCUGCAGUGGGGAAUAUUGGACAAUGGGGGGAACCCUGAUCCAGCCAUGCCGCGUGUGUGAAGAAGGCCCUCGGGUUGUAAAGCACUUUCAGUGAGGAAGAACGCCUGGUGGUUAAUACCCAUCAGGAAAGACAUCACUCACAGAAGAAGCACCGGCUAACUCCGUGCCAGCAGCCGCGGUAAUACGGAGGGUGCGAGCGUUAAUCGGAAUUACUGGGCGUAAAGCGCGCGUAGGUGGCUUGAUAAGCCGGUUGUGAAAGCCCCGGGCUCAACCUGGGAACGGCAUCCGGAACUGUCAAGCUAGAGUGCAGGAGAGGAAGGUAGAAUUCCCGGUGUAGCGGUGAAAUGCGUAGAGAUCGGGAGGAAUACCAGUGGCGAAGGCGGCCUUCUGGACUGACACUGACACUGAGGUGCGAAAGCGUGGGUAGCAAACAGGGUUAGAUACCCGUGUAGUC